rnacentral:rRNA from 1 species
AUACAUGCAAGUCGAGCGGACAGAAGGGAGCUUGCUUCCCGGAUGUUUAGCGGCGGACGGGUGAGUAACACGUGGGUAACCUGCCUGUAAGACUGGGAUAACUCCGGGAAACCGGAGCUAAUACCGGAUAGUUCCUUGAACCGCAUGGUUCAAGGAUGAAAGACGGUUUCGGCUGUCACUUACAGAUGGACCCGCGGCGCAUUAGCUAGUUGGUGAGGUAACGGCUCACCAAGGCGACGAUGCGUAGCCGACCUGAGAGGGUGAUCGGCCACACUGGGACUGAGACACGGCCCAGACUCCUACGGGAGGCAGCAGUAGGGAAUCUUCCGCAAUGGACGAAAGUCUGACGGAGCAACGCCGCGUGAGUGAUGAAGGUUUUCGGAUCGUAAAGCUCUGUUGUUAGGGAAGAACAAGUGCAAGAGUAACUGCUUGCACCUUGACGGUACCUAACCAGAAAGCCACGGCUAACUACGUGCCAGCAGCCGCGGUAAUACGUAGGUGGCAAGCGUUGUCCGGAAUUAUUGGGCGUAAAGGGCUCGCAGGCGGUUUCUUAAGUCUGAUGUGAAAGCCCCCGGCUCAACCGGGGAGGGUCAUUUGGAAACUGGGAAACUUGAGUGCAAAAAAGGAGAGU